AUUGAACGCUGGCGGCAGGCCUAACACAUGCAAGUCGAGCGCGAAAGUCUUCGGAUGAGUAAAGCGGCGGACGGGUGAGUAAUGCAUGGGAAUCUGCCUGGUAGUGGGGGACAACGUUUCGAAAGAGACGCUAAUACCGCAUACGCCCUACGGGGGAAAGGGGGGGAUCUUCGGACCUCUCGCUAUCAGAUGAGCCCAUGUCAGAUUAGCUAGUUGGUAGGGGAAAGGCCUACCAAGGCGACGAUCUGUAACUGGUCUGAGAGGAUGAUCAGUCACACUGGAACUGAGACACGGUCCAGACUCCUACGGGAGGCAGCAGUGGGGAAUAUUGGACAAUGGGGGAAACCCUGAUCCAGCCAUGCCGCGUGUGUGAAGAAGGCCCUAGGGUUGUAAAGCACUUUCAGUGGGGAGUAAGGUAAUUCACCUAAUACGUGAGUUAAUUGAUGCUACCCACCGAAGAAGCACCGGCUAACUCCGUGCCAGCCGCCGCAGUAA
rnacentral:rRNA from 1 species